UACGUAGGGUGCAAGCGUUGUCCGGAAUUAUUGGGCGUAAAGAGCUCGUAGGCGGCUUGUCGCGUCGGCUGUGAAAUCCCGUGGCUCAACUGCGGGUCUGCAGCCGAUACGGGCAGGCUAGAGUUCGGUAGGGGAGACUGGAAUUCCUGGUGUAGCGGUGAAAUGCGCAGAUAUCAGGAGGAACACCGAUGGCGAAGGCAGGUCUCUGGGCCGAUACUGACGCUGAGGAGCGAAAGCGUGGGGAGCGAACAGG
rnacentral:rRNA from 1 species